GAUGAAGAACGCAGCGAAAUGCGAUAAGUAAUGCGAAUUGCAGAAUUUCCGUGAGUCAUCGAAUCUUUGAACGCACAUUGCGCCCAUUGGUAUUCCGGGGGGCAUGCCUGUCCGAGCGUCAUUACAACCCUCAAGCUCAGCUUGGUGUUGGGCCCCGCCGCCCCGGCGGGCCCUAAAGUCAGUGGCGGUGCCGUCCGGCUCCGAGCGUAGUAAUUCUUCUCGCUCUGGAGGUCCGGUCGUGUGCUCGCCAGCAACCCCCAAUUUUUUUCAGGUUGACCUCGGAUCAGGUAGGGAUACCCGCUGAACUUAAGCAUAUCAAUAAGCGGAGGA
rnacentral:misc_RNA from 1 species